CCUAGGCCGCCGCGGGUCGGUUGUCCGGGAGGCGCGGGGCGCCACCUCUGUGGGCGUCCAAAUGAGAAAGGACGGAGAGGAGGACACGGAGAGAAAAGUUGUCAGAGCUCUAGUGUGAGGUGAAGAGAAAGAUAUCUAUCCUGAACAAUCUGUAUGGGUUCCUUGGGAAUCAAGCUUCACCUCUCAGAUAUCAGUUUUCUCUUUACGGAGAAUUCUACUCAUAGACCCUGAGUGUGCUCACUUAUUGCUGAAGUGUUACCACCUAUGAUGAUGCUUCUGGAGUUCUCCAAAGGAAGUGUUCUAUCAAUUGCUGAGAAGCUUCUUCAAUCUUCAACUGUGAUUGUGGAAUUGUCAAUUUCUUCUUUUAAUUCUUUCAAGUCUCUUCUUGAAUGUGGAGUUCUGUUUUUGAAGAUUGGUCCCCCAGGAUCCAGAACACUAUCUACCUCAUCACUUGGCAGAAUUCUACAAGAUUUUUUCCACAAGUUGAUGAAAUGAGAAGCUCUGCGACAUUAUAUACAUUGAUGAAGAGUAAGAAAAGUGAAGUGCCUGCUUAACUAAUUCACAUCCACAUUUUCAGUAAGAAAAAAUGUAAUAAAUUAUUACUGGUUCAAA